UAGUGAUGCUUCUUGCUUUUGCUUUCCCCCAUUAUCUUCUCUGUUAAUUAAUCGUCGUCGUUCCCUUUGCUGCUGCUGCUGUUCUUGCUCCCCUGUAGACUGAACUUUGAUACUGCUCGGUACCGCUUGGCUCUGAAAUCUGUACUUUUUCUUCUUCCUGCGGCAAGAAUUAAUCUUGGUACUACUACUUGAUUGCAUUCUUGGAGUAUUUAUGUAUUGCCGUAAUCUCUAGCAUGGUCAUGAUGGUUGAUGAUGAACAACCAAACAAACGAACAAAGUAUUACACACUUGCUGGUGUUACAUAAUACGUACUUAUCUGAAGAAUGCUCUGUCGCUCCAGUGUGUCUUUUAUGUCAGACUUUUCUGAGAUAUUAUGAAAUUUCAGAGUUGAAUCAGAGUUUAAAUGGGACGGGAUUGUUUGCACUGCAGAAGCACAUCCGUCAUACUGGUUAUUUGCGGUGACAGUUCCUUCGGAUUCAGUCCGAUGCGUGCAUCCUAGGCAGUUCAGUACCAGCACAAGGAAGAUCCAAUGCCUAACAUGAACUUGAUUCAGUUUGUUUCAAGUGCAGUUGCUCUCUAGCUCGCAUCUCAAACAUCCUGGAUGCCGCAGAUCAUGAGCAUUCUGGGACACACUCUUACAUGAACUUGUUUGUCUGAACUCUCAUUGAUGAUGGUGAACAACCAAACGAAUGUUUAGUUCUGCAUGAGAAUUAAUCUUGUACCUGAUUGCAUCCUUGGAGUAUUAUCAUUUUCAUAAGAGAUCCCUAGCACAGUGAGUGAGGAUUGAUGAAAAUAGUAUGUGUUGAAGCACAGUUUCUAAUGGGGCAAGCAAGAUUGCUUGCGUUGCAGUAGUACAUCGUUCCUGUUAGUAAUCUACGGAGUCGUUUCUUCGGAUUAACAAGUCCAAUGCGUACAUCUCCUGUGCAAUUCAGUACCGUCAGAAGGAAGUUCCAAUGCCGGACUGACAUGAACUUGCUUCAGUUUAUCUCAAGUGCAGUUGCUCUCGAGCUCGCUCUUGCUGCUGCCUCCAGCUCCAAUAAUCUUUGGUGUUACUACAGUCUCUUGCAUCCAUAGUACUGUACAUUGGAGAGUCAGACAGUGAAAUAUUCCGGGAUGACUCUCCCUGUUUCUGCAGUGGAGUAUCUUUCAGCUUCUGGGAGAGUUUCCAUGCAUUGCAAAUGAUCAUUCCGGGAUGACUGUGUCCUCUGGUUCGUUACGGACAUAUUCUCUGAUGAUGCCGCCUUUUUUUGGAAAAUGUUGCUUUUUUGGUUUUGUUAGUAUGUGCAAGAACAUCCAUGGCAGAAACUACUCCCUCCGUCCCAUAAUAUAAGAAUGUUUUUGACACUAGAGGAAGUACAUUGGAAUAGGUCCUGCUUUCUUCCUUCUGGUCUUAAUCACUAGCACAGUGAUGAUGACUGAUGAACAACCAAACAAACAGAUUGAACAUUUGUUAGUCUGACGGAUGCUCUGUUGCUCCAAUGUAUCUUUUAUGACAGACUUUCCUGUGAAAUAGUAUGUGUGUUCAGAGUUGAAUCAGACUUUGAAUGGUGCAAAAUUGCUUGCAUUGCAGUAGUACAUCCUCAUUCUUCCUACUAGUAAUUUACGGAGACACUACUUCGGAUUCAGUCCAAUGGAGUAUUGCCAAAAAUUGGUUGCCAAAUAUGUGUGAAAUAUAAACUUGACAAAUCAACAACAGUUUCUAUUAACCAUGUUAAAAUGGGCCAAGAUUGCUUGCAUUCCAGUAGUACAUCCUUCCUAAUAAUAAUCCGGAAACACUACUUCGGAUUCAGUCCAAUGCAUACAUCCUAUCCUAGUAGUGCAGAAGCUCAUAUGCCAUACUGACAUGAACUUGCUUCAGUUAGUCUCCAGUGUAACUGCUCUCUAUCUCGCUUUUGCGGAUGCCUACAGCUCAAGCAUCUUGGAUGUCGCUACAGACUGCUUGCAUCUAUACUGUGUCUUGGAGAGUAAGGCACCGAAAUGUUUACCCUGUUUCUGCAGUGGAGUAUCUUUCGGCUUUAUAGAGAGUCACCAUGCUUCUUCUGAUGGUGCCGCCUAUUUUCGGAAAAAAUGUUGCUGCUUGGUUUGGCUAGUAUGUUCAAGAACAUACAUGUCAGACACGGCAUUGUUACAGCUCUUGUUUUGUUCCUUAUGGCCUCCUACAUGGCUUUCUUUCUUACAUAUUGGUCAGCAGAGCUCGCAUUUUUAGUUACCCCCUCUGUUUUAUAGUAGAGUGCCAAUCAAUUUUCUCAAAAAUCAAACUUCAUAAGCUUUGAUCAACCACAAUAUACACCCUGAGCCACUUGUCCGUGACAAGCAAGUCAGACAAUCAUGAGCUGAUGGCGUUCUCGGCAGUAUUCUUGCUCCUGCACCUUAGUCACCUACGUUGAGGGCAACCGGCUCUGGCUGCGGCAAGUUAGGGGUUGCCUGCUCGGGAGUGCAAUUGUACUGGAAGAAGGCGUUGGCGAAGCGUGCCGGCGGUAGCAUGUCGGGCAGCAAGUACUGACCGAUCCUUCAAGAGCCUGGUGCCACCCCUAGGGACACAGAGGGUCUGGUCUACGACAAUGUUAUCGUUGCAAGUGAUGGAGAUGCAGCUCGACCUGGUGAUAUAGUGGGCAUGAGCCACAAAUGUGAGUGAUUCAAUUUCAAUUCCAAAUAUAGUGCAUAUACAUUUAUUAUGGAUUGUUGAACCCUCCUUAACAUGUGAGACACAUUUGACCACAAAAAUACGUAAAACAUAAUGCUGAUGAUUCGGCUGACAAGCAUAUUGUAAACAUUUUAUGUACUCUACAUUUAAUAUUUACAUACACAUAUAUAACCAUGAACUAGAACUCUGUCAGGAUAUUUCUGAGACCAUACUCUUUAAAGAGCUCUACCAAGAUCAUUUAGGAUUUACAGAGAUAUAUACAAUGUGUUCAUGAAGUAUCACAAAUUAUCCGAUCCAUGAAAGCAUUAUGUUUUUUUUCACUUUUAUGGGGAUUUGGUUCAAAUAUGUAUUUUUAGGCAACAAAAAGUAACAAGGUGAUGUAACUUUUGUGACGUAUACGGUUCAUAUUUACCACAAUGCAAGCAAUAUUUUAAAACUAUAGACAUGACAUAGGUGGCAUAGAGAACACUGUUAUUAACAUUUAAUAAAUAAUUACAAAUAAGUAUAAAAAUUUAGUAUAAAUAUUAAAUUUAUUUGUACACACAUUGUGCCACGGAUUUUAAUUAAUGUUUAUUUUGAGCGAAAAAAAUUUCCCCUGAUUUUCAUUAACAAAACCAUAUUAGUUAUUACACCACCAAAAUGCAGCACCAGAGUUAUCCUUCACAAGUUGUCUUUUUGGUUUUUUUACAAAAUCAAUGAACUAAUAUUAAGGAAAAACAAAUGGAUAUAAGAUACAGUUGAUUGAAAUAAAAAAUAUUCCCGUGUGAACUCACUAAAGUUUAAAUACUAAUUUGUUGCACUGCAUUACACCAUCUUAAACACCGUUAUGGGCACAACACUUAUGGCUGUAAUGGAUAAUCUCGAAGAUGUAGACGAAAUUUUUUUCAAAUUUUCUGCCCCAUAAGUCACUUGUACAGAUUGGCGUCGAUGAUGUUGCUUAUCUGCUUCUGCAGCCUACAAUUGAGCGCCUUGCAACGAACAUCCAUGUCCAUGUUCUGCAGAAAAAUCAGACGAAACACACUAUGGAAUGGGAUGUCGUUAUACUUAGAGAUGAUGAUGAUUAAGGAUCUGUUGACGCUACUAGAAAAAACCUUAUACACAGAAUCUUACUAGCAGCACGGUUUAAAAUAACCCGCUACUGCUACUUAGCAGUAGCGCGCUUUAGAAAACUCGCUACGGGUAUCCAAGUAGCAGUAGCGCGUUAGUCGAAUAGUGCGCUACUACUACAAUUGCCACGGUGUUGCCUCCAGACUAGGUAUAGUAGUAGCGCCGUUUUCCUUAAACGCGCUAUUGCUAAUGUACUUUAGCAGUAGCGCUUUAUCCUAACACGCGCUACUGUUAAAGCCAUCAUAUCUUCUUCAACUGGCCGUCCCUCACUCUCCCCUCUCCACUCCACUCCCGCUCUCCCCCGCAUCCCCCAGUCGUCCGCCGCCGCCGCCGUUCACUGACCACCGUCGUCGCCCUCCCCGACCAGCGUCGUCGCCCGCCGCCGCCGACGUUCCUGCUCUCCUCCACUAAGGUAGUUCAUCCAUCCUCCAUCCUUCCACCUCCCUCCCCGCCUCGUCCCUCUCCCGAUCCCUNNNNNNNNNNNNNNNNNNNNNNNNNNNNNNNNNNNNNNNNNNNNNNNNNNNNNNNNNNNNNNNNNNNNNNNNNNNNNNNNNNNNNNNNNNNNNNNNNNNNNNNNNNNNNNNNNNNNNNNNNNNNNNNNNNNNNNNNNNNNNNNNNNNNNNNNNNNNNNNNNNNNNNNNNNNNNNNNNNNNNNNNNNNNNNNNNNNNNNNNNNNNNNNNNNNNNNNNNNNNNNNNNNNNNNNNNNNNNNNNNNNNNNNNNNNNNNNNNNNNNNNNNNNNNNNNNNNNNNNNNNNNNNNNNNNNNNGAUCCCUCCCUACCUCCCUCUCCACCCUCACUCACCCCUCCCUACUCCCUCCACUUAGUGUAGAAGUUUGUCGGUAUUAAGAAUAGAAAUUUUUAGGUAUUAAAUUUAGUAAUAGAAGUAAGCAAAUUUAGGGUAGAACUAGGCUACAAAUUUAGGGGAGAACUAGUUUAUUUAGUAAGUAUUUAAUAGAACUAGUUUAUUGAGUAAGUGCUUAAUAGAACUAGUUUAGAGAGAGACCUAUAUUGGCAAAUUUAGUUAUACUUCAGAAGAUAAGUGAUUAAAGACUACUCAGAUACAUGUUGAUAGAAUAUAUUUUGUUUAUAUUUGUUUAUGCAGAAAUCAAGUAUUUGCCCCAUGCCUCAUCCCCGCAGUCAUCCCCAUCACCGACCCCUUAAGACCUCUAGGUGAGAAUAGCCAAAUCCCCAUGUUGUUGAUAUAGAUGACAAUGUGUUGUAAAUGUCGAUGAUGAAUAUGCUACUGCUACUAGCCAUCACUAGUAGAAAAAGGCUCAUUUGUCCCAGUUCAUAAGGCCCAUUUGUCCCGGUUUGGGAACCGGGACUAAAGGGUCAGUACUAAAGCCCAAAACCUUUAGUCUCGGUUCACCCACGAACCGGGACAAAUGAGGCUCCACGUGGCCGCUGCGGGUUUCCUAGGCAGGGGGNNNNNNNNNNNNNNNNNNNNNNNNNNNNNNNNNNNNNNNNNNNNNNNNNNNNNNNNNNNNNNNNNNNNNNNNNNNNNNNNNNNNNNNNNNUUGGUCCCGGUUGGUAGCACCAACCGGGACCAAAAAGCGUCCACGCGUCAGCAGUUCAGGGGCUGGGGUUUUUUUAAAAGGGGGGGGGGUGGGGGUUUUGUAGGGUUAAUUUAGGGAGUUUCAUAUAUUGUUUUAGCUAGCUAAUAGAGAGAAGUGUCCUCUCUUAUCUCCGUGCUUCGUCGACGCUACGUACUACACGUAUAGAGAGGACUCAACACGCUAGCUAGUAAGCAAAUAAAGGAAACCAUUAAGUACACAAGAUCGUCAUGAACAUAUACAAAGAGAAGUGAUCGACCUCUCUUUCUCCGAGAGAUUGGUCGAACAACAAGUUUUCGUACAUCAAUCCGGUGCUACUAGCUACAUAUAUACAAUAUAAGAUCUCUUACAAUCCCUAGCAUAUGAUGUCAAGUUCCACAUGGUAUUCUCCGUCUUUAUCUAUGACGUUGUCAAGAAAAAAUCCCGUCAAUUCCUAUUGAAUUGCUUUUAUGCGAUCUUGUGGUAGGAGUUCAUCCCGCGGCUGCCAAAGCUAAUUUGAAGAAGGGGGUCAAUACAUAUAUAUAUGAAUGAAACUCAACCCAAAUGAUGGUAAUAAAAUAAAAUUGUGAAUAUUAUUGCUUACGCACUUCAUAAUCUUCUUUAGAAUAGCCCCGCUUAAAGGUCAUCGCGUUGUAGAUGUACUCGCAAAUGUAGUAUCCACAAAAAUUAUUCCCGCCUUCCUGCCACAACCACUUUAUAAGAAAUAGAGGUCAAUCAAACUGAUAAUCAAGCAUUAUAAAUGGUAUUGAUGAAACUAGCUAGAAUCAAUGGGAGAUGCGUGGAACUACCUAGUAGUACUUACUUUCGGGUGUGUAAAUCGCAGCUUUGAUGACAUCCAUGACAAAAACAUCAUUCUACCUGAACAAUGGUAGGAGCCCCUGCUUUGUUCCUUUUGGCCUCCUUCCUUGGCUUUCUUUCUUCCUUUUAGAUUGCUCAGCAUGCAUGUUGUUUGAAGAAAUGGCAGUGAGGAAUGUGGUCUGUGAAAGCCAUGUUGGAUUCUGGAAUCCCCUGAAUCCCUAAUACAUAGGCCUAUGUAUCGGAUAAUAUUUGAAGGCGCGACACUAGUAGAAAAAGGGCCAUUUGUCCCGGUUCAUAAGGCCCAUUUGUCCCGGUUGGUGAACCGGGACUAAAGUGUCGUUACUAAUGCCCUAGGCCUUUGGUCCCGGUUCUUAUACGAAUCGGGAUAGAUGGGCCUCCACGUGGCCGCUGCGACGAGCCCAGGCAGGAGGGCCUUUAGUCCCGGUUGGUGGCACCAACCGACCAAAAGGCAUCCACGCGUCAGCAGCUGGCAGGAGCUGAGGUUUUUGUUUUUUUCUGAAAGGGGGUGGUUUAGGGUGCAAUUUAGGGUGUGUAAGCUAGCUAACAGAGAGAAGUGUCCUCUCUUAUUUCCGUGCUUGGUUUACCAACGCUACUGCUAUGCCUAAACAUGGCUUAGAUUAAAGUGAAGGCAACAUGUAGUGCAUGUCGAAAGUAAUAUUAAUCCUAACUUGAUCAAGUUUGGAUUAGUACUAUUUUCGACAUGCACCUUAUGCUUGUUGCCUUCACUCUUCAUGCCCGCAUCUUGCAUCAUCGUAAUAAUAAGUCCUACUAAUCAUCAUCAUACAACUUCUACUCGUUAUUAAUAACAAGUCAUACGAUCAUCAUCCUGAUAGUCAUCGAACCAACCCUACUUAAUUGUUCUAGGCACAUGAUCAUCAGAGUAUUAGGUAGGACCUAAAUACCCACUUUAAGGUAAAAUAGCAUAAAACAAUAUAGACCCUGACUCUCCAUUAUGGAGAAUGGAGAUCAUCAUGUCUCCAAUUAUUGUGCUUCGCUUCCUUUUGCUUCCAAGAACCUCCUUACGACUGUCCAUACAUUUUUUCCAUUCUUUGAUUUUCAUGUUUCCACUUCUUUUAGAAAUCCGGUAUGGACAGUUGAGAUUCGUAGGAUGACCUGGCCGUAUGUUCAAAACAUCAAGGCGGCCAUGCUCAUACAUCACAUGAGGCACACAAUCAUUCGGGAUUAUCUGUUGAAAAACAUAGUAAUAUAACUUCAUAGUUAUCAAUAAUGUACUAGUUUUAGAAGUAUGCAAAAGAUGCAAGGAUGUCGUAAUAGUAAAAAAUAUUACCAGGGUAUCUCCAUGGAAGUUACUGUUAUUCAACACGUGCACUAGUGGCACGUAUUGACCAUAAUGUUGAGGAGUUUGAUUGUAGAUAUUUUAAUUCUCAAGAUCAGUACAAAAUGCGAUCAGAUGAUUUUUCUCCUGAUAAGUUAAUUCGCAGUCAUUAGUGUAGUGGGUUUUGUCUACCAUCUUCCGCACAUUCUUUGAAGAAUGAAAAUAAGCUGUCAACAUUUUGAAAUAAACAAUAUAAAUUAGUUAAUAACUAUGUUUGAGAAACUCACAUAGCGGUAGAAUUGGAGGCGUAUCAACAAGGACCCAAAUGUCCAGAUUGUUUUGCUCGAUUUCAGGAUCACCAAGAUCCAUGGUGACAAGCAUAUCCUCAUGAAAACCAUACAUCUUGCAAAGUGAUUCCCAAUUUUUGCAACCAAAAUGGGUUAUGCUCUCAGAAUUGUACAAUUUUACUUCGAAAUCCAUACCAUGAUGGGUCCUUAGGUGAAUUUUCUUUGUUUCGAAAUUUUCAUGGUCUUCAAAACCCAUCCUCGCGAAGACAUAGCGUCUUGCAUAGCAUGGGAUAAGCUAGUCGAAUUGUAAAGAUGAUAAGUACACGCUGAAAUAUAUAGUUGAAGUCGUGCUUAAUUACGAAAAAAACACUUGUCGUCGUUGCGUACCGUUUCAACAUCGAAGGUCUCCUCGAGCUUAAUGCUGAAGCGUCGAUCUUCGUCCAGCUCAAUGAACCUGUCGCACUGACCUCGGUCGUCGUGGCACCAGUCGCACUCCCCCGGGAGACUUUCGUCGUUCGAGUACGACAUUUCCUAUGUUCAUAAUUCAAAUAUUAAAUGUCUACAAUUAAAUAUAUGUACUAAAAAACCUAAGUUAGAUCAUUAUUAUUCAUCACGGGUUGACUAUCGGUCUGUCGAGUCUUUUCUUCAAAACUCUCAGCUCACGUGGUGUAUACAUUCGACCAUUGGUGAUGGUCGCUCCUCCAUUCAUCCCCGAGUGCAUUACACCAAAAUGUCUAGCACACGGGAAUGAAGGAGAAGCGACCCCCACGACAACAGUCGGGAUUCUUCGUCCUCUCAUAUAUAUAUAUAGUGGAACUCUCCCUCACUGAUUCCUCUCUGAUAUUUGCGACCGACAGUGAUGGUAGCUCCUCCUUUCGUUCCCGAGUGCAUUACACCAAAUUGUCUUCUUGCGUCCGUACAUAUAUGGUGACUUGUUGAUACGCAUUGUUGGAUCGGAGUGCAUGGUAGCUCCUCCUUUCGUUCCCGAGUGCAUUACACCAAAAUAAAGUAGUAUUCAAAUUAGCAUGCAUUCAAUUAUAAGCAAAACUACAUCACCUCUUGCGUCCAUACAUCGUUGAAUAUUAUCUCGAAUACUAUCAUACAUAUAGCAUCGCUAGUACAGCUAGAACCGUAGCGCCUGACGGGUAUCGGCGCAGGCGGUGGACACCCAAAGGGAAGGAACCAUCACAGGAUCAUAGCUCCAGUGAGAUCCCUGAAGAACCUGCCAGGUAUUGUCGAACCUGCCCUCCAACGCAACCAUGUAGCGACGGACGUGCUUGUCCUCCUCGCUGACACGGUGAUGUAUCACCUCCGCGGUGUCCGGAAGCCUCGGCACUGUCACUGGCCCACGUGACCGCCACCAAACAAGGAUCGGGUCAACGACGGGCUGGCUCCUCACCAACCUACGCCCCCCGUAAGGUAGCACCUCCCAAAACCAGCCCGGCGGAGCCCAAUCCCGGACAUGCCCCCUCUGAUCAAGCCGGCCUCCUCCGCCGAGUCGACGACGAGGAUGCGGGAUAGGCAUCGUCGACGUCGAUGCGGGAAUAAUUGCUUUAACUAAAAAAAUAAACUAGUUCUAUUAAUUUUCUUGCUAAAAAUAAACUACUACUAUAGUAAAAUAAAAUAGUUUUAUUAAAUCAACUAGUUCAACUACUAAGCACUUACUAUAAAUAGAAUAAAGUAGUACUUACUAAAAAUAAACUAGCUAGUUUAACUAGUUCUAUUAUUUUUCUAACUAAUUCUAUUAAACACUUUCUAAGUAGUACUUACUAAAAGUUAUCGGGGAGGGGGGUAUAUCGACAACGACAUACCCGAUAAAAAAUAAGAAGAGGAAGAAGAAGAAAAAAAAUAGGAGAAGAAGAAGAAAGGAAUAGAGGAGGAGAUCGAAGAAAAAAAAGAGGAGAAGAAGAAGGAAUAGAAGAGAAGAAGAAGAAAUAGAAUAAUAUAUUAUUCUAUUUCUUCUUCUUCUCCUCUAUUUCUUCUUAUUCUACUCUUUUUUUCUUUUUUUCAUCUUCUUAUUUAUUUCUCCUCUUCUUCCUCUCCUCUUCUUAUUCUUCUUCUUCUCCUUCUUCCUCUUCUUAUUUUCCUCUUUUCUCUCCUUCUUUUUCUUCUAAAUAUGAACAUACAUAAAUGAUUUUGAUCAUACAAUUUUCAGAUUCCUACACAAUAUGAACAUAUACAUAAAUUGACAAAGAAAAUUCUAUGAACAAAAAAAUCAUAAAAAUUCUAUGAGCAAAAUUACAACAGAAAAAAUCAUAAAAAUUCUAUGAAAAAAUUGACAUAUUCUUUGCAUAUGAACAUAUAAACAUUUGCAUAUUCAAUAAUAAUAUCACCAAAAAAAAA
rnacentral:lncRNA from 1 species